GUGAGAAGCAAACUCGGCUGGGUUUUAGCUGUCCAUGUUGCCACCAGCUGGGCUGGAACAAGAGUUUCAGAGUGUGUUCCAGCUGGAGACCAGUCUGACCACCUCCUCCUCCGGCGCGAGAGGACGAUGCUGAGCGCAGCGCUUCACCUCACUGCGCUCCUUCAACAGAGGAACCUUUUCUUCGCAUAGGAAGUACUCCAACGGAUUUCCUGCAGGUGCUACGACCUGUGGGGAAGCGAGAGGAGAAACACGGCGACAGUUGAAAAAUGAGGGGUAAAAAAGAGGGCUACUACCACAUUAUUCAGGUGUCAAAUGUUUAUUUCUUGAGUACUAACCAUGUCCAGCAGCUGUUUGGCGGUCGUCUGUUCUGUGACACAGAACACAGUGAAGGGCUCAGGACCGGGAGCUCCGUACACUGUAAUCCUGUGUUGCUGCGACGUACGUUUUUCCUCCGAACUGAACAGCUGUGUAGAGAGCAGGAGAGGGGUAAGGCAGCAGGUUUCUAAGUGCCACUUUGUAAAAAACACUAUAAGUAAAAGUCCUGCAUUCAAAACCUUUGUUAAGUAAGUAGUAAGUCUAAUCACCAAAAUUUAAAUUGUAUCAAAUGUUUUUACUUUUGUACUCAGUAUGCAGAAAAAUCAGCCCUUUCAGUGUUUUAGUUUUAGAGAUGUUUGCAGUAGAUGUUUAAGGUUAAGCUACUUUUAACUACUUUCAUUGGGGACACAUUAAAUGAUUGGACGUGGUCAUUACAGUCCACAGAUAUAGCAUUUGAUUUAUUGAUUGUUGUUGGGAAGUAAAGGGAAUUUCAACAAUAAAAAAUCCCUUUAAAAUAAA